AGUCCUGCCUCCUGGCCGCAUGUCCCAACCACCACCUCUCCCUGAUCGCCUCCUUCCUCCUCUGUCACGAUAUCUUUGCACGCACCCCAACCACUACUUGCUUCAGCCUCAUCCUGACCCCCUUUCCUCCUCAGUCAACAUCGGGACUUGGUCCUCCUCUCUCCUCCUAGUCACUACCCCUAAAAGACAGGCCUCUUCAGGGUCAUUCUUACUAUUCCAACCGCAGCUAAACCCGAUGGCUUCCCUCACUGGAUUCACCCUUCUCAUCAAGGCCCUUUAUACCGUGACCUCAAGGCAAUCCUCUUUUUUACAUCUCAACCCCAAAAGGACCUCACGCUAUUAAGUUUCAGAAGAGAGCAAGGCGGAACAGCUUGCCUCCAAUCUCAGCAGAAUGAGGCCUCAUCCAUCUAUUGAGACCCAAGCCGACCCUUUCGGGUUAUGUUCUACCUCUUUUCCGAAUCUUCCCUCUGGCUCACUCCCAUCGGCAGUGAGCUUUAUAUAUGGAGAUGUGAGGUUCAGGAAACCUAUACUCAAGGAUUCGACCAGACCAUGCAUGUGAUACGGCUGGAGAACGCUCACCAGCAUCACCAGCAGAGCGCCAAAAGGAGAUGCUAAUCCCCAUGUCACCUGAGUUGAUUUCUAAGACGCCUUUCCUCUAUGCUUGCUUUCUCUAUAUUCAAACUAGGGAUUACUGUCGAUGUUGGCCAGACUUCUGGGGGCUGUUCUUAUCGGUCCUAUAGGAGACACGAUGCACAUUCAGGAAAGCAUGCUAACUUCUAUACAGAAUGGGGGAUAUUUAUAUCCAAAUUGAGGACCUGUGGCACCCCACAAGGACAGGAGUCAUGGGUAAAGUUUAUUAUAGUAUUCAUUACAGCUGUCCAUCAGGCAUGAUCAAAAUGCAGAGGAUAUACACCUCAGGGUAUAGACACAGUAAAGGAAGUGGUCCAACAUUCCUCAAAGGUCCUUACAUCUUUAACUUCACUCCCCUUAUACCAUACUGAUCCCACCU
rnacentral:lncRNA from 1 species